UUCCCUGCCUUCUGAAGUUUGGGUGGCCAUGGGCUUGGUUUCGGCAAUGAUUGGUGAACAGAAUGCCACGUGUCACUUCUGGACACAAGCAAAGAGUGCUGUUUGUGGCAUUCCGCUUUUCUUCCCUCAGCGAUUAUGAAGCUCAGAGAUGGAACCUCCCUAAAGGUGAACAUUGAGGGUAAAUCACAUAGAUAAGAGCUCCCAAGCCAACCUGUACUGGUCAUGUAGUGAGAGCAAGAAAAUAGAGGAUACAAGAAAACAGAUGUGAAGAAAGGUGGUAACUAUACCAUCAAUGGUAGGAAAAUAUAAACAACUCAGGAACACUAGGCUGACUGGAUGUGCCCAGUUGCCUACACCAGGAACAAAAUGCCCUGCUCUUUGACCGAGAAUUCAUACUCUACAAUAUAGAAAAACUGAGUAUGUGGGAUAUGUGGUCAUCAGAGGCCACACGGACAUUCUUUGAAGAUGUAACAGAUUUUAAGAAGUUCCUCAUUGGUAAGUAAGAAAUGGGUUUUAAAUACCAGCUAGUACAGCUCCAAGAUAUAUGAAGUUAUAACAGCUUUAGGUAAGUAUCAGAACAAAAAUGUAACAGUCAUGAGUAAAUAUUCAUGGUUAUGUGACACAAUAACCCAUUUUGAGGUUACCUGGUAUAGAUUAGUACCAGUAGGAAUUGUUCAAUUACAAAUUAGUUUCACUUCCUGAAAACACACAUCUUUCCAUUACUAGGAACAAAAGUAAAACUAUGUAUUGAAUAAAUCAACACUCACACAAUUAAAAAGCAAACUACUUAACAUAAGUUUUUGUACUACCUGCCCUUAGAA